AAAUGAAUAGACGGGGACCCGCACAAGCGGUGGAGCAUGUGGUUUAAUUCGAAGAUACGCGAAAAACCUUACCAGGACUUGACAUCCUUCUGACCGAUCUUGUAAUGAGAUCUUUCCUUCGGGACAGAAGUGACAGGUGGUGCAUGGUCGUCGUCAGCUCGUGUCGUGAGAUGUUGGGUUAAGUCCCGCAACGAGCGCAACCCUUGUCUUUAGUUGCCAGCAUUUAGUUGGGCACUCUAGAGAGACUGCCGGUGAUAAACCGGAGGAAGGUGGGGAUGACGUCAGAUCAUCAUGCCCCUUAUGUCCUGGGCAACACACGUGCUACAAUGGGACGGACAACGAGCUGCAAACUAGCGAUAGUAAGCCAAUCUCUUAAACCGUCUCUCAGUUCGGACUGGAGUCUGCAACUCGACUCCACGAAGUCGGAAUCGCUAGUAAUCGCGAAUCAGCAUGUCGCGGUGAAUACGUUCCCGGGUCUUGUACACACCGCCCGU
rnacentral:rRNA from 1 species